UCAGGGGCAGUGUUUUUCUUUUAUGUUACAAUAAAAGUCCGAAUUGGCGGGAAGGGAGCUCAAGUGUGAUUACUGGGGCAACAACCGUCGUUCGUCCUCAGAGAUCCCUCCCGCCGAUCUUGAAGACAAUUUUCCCUGUGUGCCGUGUCAUUUCUUUAACUUUGUCCGAGAAAAACUCUGACACAAAUGUCCAGAAAUU